rnacentral:rRNA from 1 species
CAAUAGCGUAUAUUAAAGUUGUUGCAGUUAAAAGGCUCGUAGUUGAAUUUUUGCUUGCCGCCGAUGUCGGAACUUCCGUACGUUCGGCGGCGUGCAUCCUUGGGUGGAACCUGUGUGGCAUUAGGUUGUCGUGCAGGGGAUGCUCAUCGUUUACUGUGAAAAAAUUAGAGUGUUCAAAGCAGGCUUACGCCGUUGAAUAUAUUAGCAUGGAAUAAUAAGAUAGGACCUUGGUACUAUUUUGUUGGUUUGCGCACCGAGGUAAUGAUUAACAGGGACAGUUGGGGGUAUUCGUAUUCCAUUGUCAGAGGUGAAAUUCUUGGAUUUCUGGAAGACGAACUACUGCGAAAGCAUUUACCAAGGAUGUUUNCAUUAA